rnacentral:rRNA from 1 species
UACAGAGGUCUCAAGCGUUGUUCGGAUUCAUUGGGCGUAAAGGGCGCGUAGGCUGCGGGGCAAGUCGGGUGUGAAAUCUCAGAGCUCAACUCUGAAACUGCACUCGAUACUGCUUUGCUUGAGGACUGGAGAGGAGAUUGGAAUUCACGGUGAGCAGUGAAAUGCGUAGAUAUCGUGAGGAAGACCAGUGGCGAAGGCGGAUCUCUGGACAGUUCCUGACGCUGAGGCGCGAAGGCCAGGGGAGCAAACGGG